rnacentral:rRNA from 1 species
AGAGUUUGAUCAUGGCUCAGAUUGAACGCUGGCGGCAGGCCUAACACAUGCAAGUCGAGCGGUAGCACAGAGAGCUUGCUCUCGGGUGACGAGCGGCGGACGGGUGAGUAAUGUCUGGGAAACUGCCUGAUGGAGGGGGAUAACUACUGGAAACGGUAGCUAAUACCGCAUAAUGUCGCAAGACCAAAGUGGGGGACCUUCGGGCCUCAUGCCAUCAGAUGUGCCCAGAUGGGAUUAGCUAGUAGGUGGGGUAACGGCUCACCUAGGCGACGAUCCCUAGCUGGUCUGAGAGGAUGACCAGCCACACUGGAACUGAGACACGGUCCAGACUCCUACGGGAGGCAGCAGUGGGGAAUAUUGCACAAUGGGCGCAAGCCUGAUGCAGCCAUGCCGCGUGUGUGAAGAAGGCCUUCGGGUUGUAAAGCACUUUCAGCGGGGAGGAAGGCGGUGAGGUUAAUAACCUCAUCGAUUGACGUUACCCGCAGAAGAAGCACCGGCUAACUCCGUGCCAGCAGCCGCGGUAAUACGGAGGGUGCAAGCGUUAAUCGGAAUUACUGGGCGUAAAGCGCACGCAGGCGGUCUGUCAAGUCGGAUGUGAAAUCCCCGGGCUCAACCUGGGAACUGCAUUCGAAACUGGCAGGCUAGAGUCUUGUAGAGGGGGGUAGAAUUCCAGGUGUAGCGGUGAAAUGCGUAGAGAUCUGGAGGAAUACCGGUGGCGAAGGCGGCCCCCUGGACAAAGACUGACGCUCAGGUGCGAAAGCGUGGGGAGCAAACAGGAUUAGAUACCCUGGUAGUCCACGCCGUAAACGAUGUCGAUUUGGAGGUUGUGCCCUUGAGGCGUGGCUUCCGGAGCUAACGCGUUAAAUCGACCCCCUGGGGAGUACGGCCGCAAGGUUAAAACUCAAAUGAAUUGACGGGGGCCCGCACAAGCGGUGGAGCAUGUGGUUUAAUUCGAUGCAACGCGAAGAACCUUACCUGGUCUUGACAUCCACAGAACUUAGCAGAGAUGCUUUGGUGCCUUCGGGAACUGUGAGACAGGUGCUGCAUGGCUGUCGUCAGCUCGUGUUGUGAAAUGUUGGGUUAAGUCCCGCAACGAGCGCAACCCUUAUCCUUUGUUGCCAGCGGUUAGGCCGGGAACUCAAAGGAGACUGCCAGUGAUAAACUGGAGGAAGGUGGGGAUGACGUCAAGUCAUCAUGGCCCUUACGACCAGGGCUACACACGUGCUACAAUGGCAUAUACAAAGAGAAGCGACCUCGCGAGAGCAAGCGGACCUCAUAAAGUAUGUCGUAGUCCGGAUUGGAGUCUGCAACUCGACUCCAUGAAGUCGGAAUCGCUAGUAAUCGUAGAUCAGAAUGCUACGGUGAAUACGUUCCCGGGCCUUGUACACACCGCCCGUCACACCAUGGGAGUGGGUUGCAAAAGAAGUAGGUAGCUUAACCUUCGGGAGGGCGCUUACCAUACUGUGA